GACGAACGCUGGCGGCGUGCUUAACACAUGCAAGUCGAACGGAAAGGCCCUGCUUUUGUGGGGUGCUCGAGUGGCGCACGGGUGAGUAACACGUGAGUAACCUGCCCUUGACUUUGGGAUAACUUCAGGAAACUGGGGCUAAUACCGGAUAGGAGCUCCUGCUGCAUGGUGGGGGUUGGAAAGUUUCGGCGGUUGGGGAUGGACUCGCGGCUUAUCAGCUUGUUGGUGGGGUAGUGGCUUACCAAGGCUUUGACGGGUAGCCGGCCUGAGAGGGUGACCGGCGACAUUGGGACUGCGAUACGGCGCAGACUCGUACGGGAGGCAGCAGUCGGGAAUAUUGCAGAAUGGGCGGAAGCCUGAUGCGGCAACGCCCCGUGCGGGAUGACGGCCUUCGGGUUGUAAACCGCUGUCGCCUGUGACGAAGCGGGAGUGACGGUAAUGGGUAAAGAAGCACCGGCUAACUACGUG
rnacentral:rRNA from 1 species